rnacentral:rRNA from 1 species
UUAAGUGACGAAGCGUAUACGGUGGAUGCCUUGGCAGUUAGAGGCGAUGAAGGACGUGUAAGUCUGCGAAAAGCUGUGGUGAGCCGACAAAAUGCAUUUGAGCCACAGAUGUCCGAAUGGGGAAACCCACCUGUUUACAGGUAUCGUUGCGUGAAUACAUAGCGUAACGAGGCGAACGAGGGGAACUGAAACAUCUAAGUACCCUUAGGAAAAGAAAUCAAACGAGAUUCCCCUAGUAGCGGCGAGCGAACGGGGAACAGCCCUUAAGCUGUUUAGUGUGUAGUGGAAUCCUUUGGGAAGAGGAGCGAUACAGGGUGAUAGCCCCGUACACAAAGCGUGCUUUACAGUGAAAUCGAGUAGGUCGGGACACGUGUUAUCUUGACUGAAUAUGGGGGGACCAUCCUCCAAGGCUAAAUACUCCUAACUGACCGAUAGUGAACCAGUACCGUGAGGGAAAGGCGAAAAGAACCCCUGUGAGGGGAGUGAAAUAGAACCUGAAACCGUAUACGUACAAGCAGUGGGAGCCCUUCGGGGUGACUGCGUACCUUUUGUAUAAUGGGUCAGCGACUUAUAUUUAGUAGCAAGGUUAAGCGAAUAGCGGAGCCGUAGCGAAAGCGAGUGUUAACUGCGCGUUKAGUUGCUAGGUAUAGACCCGAAACCCGGUGAUCUAGCCAUGAGCAGGUUGAAGGUUGAGUAACAUCAACUGGAGGACCGAACCCACUGACGUUGAAAAGUCAGGGGAUGACUUGUGGCUGGGGGUGAAAGGCCAAUCAAACCGGGAGAUAGCUGGUUCUCCCCGAAAUCUAUUUAGGUAGAGCCUCGGAYGAAUUCCAUUGGGGGUAGAGCACUGUUAAGGCUAGGGGGUCAUCCCGACUUACCAACCCUUUGCAAACUCCGAAUACCAAUGAGAACUAUCCGGGAGACACACGGCGGGUGCUAACGUCCGUCGUGGAGAGGGAAACAACCCAGACCGCCAGCUAAGGUCCCAAAAUAUUGCUAAGUGGGAAACGAUGUGGGAAGGCACAGACAGCUAGGAGGUUGGCUUAGAAGCAGCCACCCUUUAAAGAAAGCGUAAUAGCUCACUAGUCGAGUCGGCCUGCGCGGAAGAUGUAACGGGGCUAAGCAAUAUACCGAAGCUGCGGCAGCAUGUUUACAUGCUGGGUAGGGGAGCGUUGUGUAAGUGGAUGAAGGUGAGUUGUAAAGCUUGCUGGACAUAUCACAAGUGCGAAUGCUGACAUGAGUAACGAUAAUGGGAGUGAAAAACUCCCACGCCGGAAGACCAAGGUUUCCUGUCCCAUGCUAAUCAGGGCAGGGUAAGUCGGCCCCUAAGGCGAGGCAGAAAUGCGUAGUCGAUGGGAAACGGAUUAAUAUUUCCGUACUUAUAUAAUCAGUGAUGGAGGGACGGAGAAGGCUAGGCAAGCUUGGCGUUGGUUGUCCAAGUGAAAGUGUGUAGGCUGAAAACUUAGGUAAAUCCGGGUUUUCAAGGCCGAGACACGAGACGAGCUCCCAAGGGAGUGAAGUUGUUGAUGCCCUGCUUCCAGGAAAAGCUUCUAAACUUAUGAUUAUAUGAACCGUACCCCAAACCGACACAGGUGGUCAGGUAGAGAAUACUAAGGCGCUUGAGAGAACUCGGGUGAAGGAACUCGGCAAAAUUGUACCGUAACUUCGGGAGAAGGUACGCCUCUGUUUGUGAACACUUUACGUGGUAAGCAAAUGGAGGCCGCAGUGACCAGGUGGCUGGGACUGUUUAUUAAAAACACAGCACUCUGCAAACUCGUAAGAGGACGUAUAGGGUGUGACACCUGCCCGGUGCCGGAAGGUUAAUUGAUGGGGUUAGUUUUCGGACGAAGCUCUUGAUCGAAGCCCCGGUAAACGGCGGCCGUAACUAUAACGGUCCUAAGGUAGCGAAAUUCCUUGUCGGGUAAGUUCCGACCUGCACGAAUGGUGUAACCAUGGCCACGCUGUCUCCACCCGAGACUCAGUGAAAUUGAAAUCGCAGUGAAGAUGCUGUGUACCCGCACCUAGACGGAAAGACCCCGUGAACCUUUACUACAGCUUGGCACUGAACAUUGAACCUACAUGUGUAGGAUAGGUGGGAGGCUUYGAAGCACAGUCGCUAGAUUGUGUGGAGCCGUCCUUGAAAUACCACCCUUGUAUGUUUGAUGUUCUAACAUUGGCCCCUUAUCGGGGUUGUGGACAGUGUCUGGUGGGUAGUUUGACUGGGGCGGUCUCCUCCCAAAUAGUAACGGAGGAGCACGAAGGUUAGCUAAUCACGGUCGGACAUCGUGAGGUUAGUGCAAUGGCAUAAGCUAGCUUAACUGCGAGACAGACACGUCGAGCAGGUACGAAAGUAGGUCAUAGUGAUCCGGUGGUUCUGUAUGGAAGGGCCAUCGCUCAACGGAUAAAAGGUACUCCGGGGAUAACAGGCUGAUACCGCCCAAGAGUUCAUAUCGACGGCGGUGUUUGGCACCUCGAUGUCGGCUCAUCACAUCCUGGGGCUGAAGUCGGUCCCAAGGGUAUGGCUGUUCGCCAUUUAAAGUGGUACGCGAGCUGGGUUUAGAACGUCGUGAGACAGUUCGGUCCCUAUCUGGUGUGGGCGUUGGAUGAUUGAUGGGAGCUGCUCCUAGUACGAGAGGACCGGAGUGGACGAACCGCUGGUGUUCGGGUUGUCAUGCCAAUGGCAUUGCCCGGUAGCUAUGUUCGGAACGGAUAACCGCUGAAAGCAUCUAAGCGGGAAGCCGGCCCAAAGAUGAGUCAUCCCUGACCUUUAAGGUCUGGAAGGGUUGUUAUAGACGAUGACGUUGAUAGGCAGGGUGUGGAAGCGUUGUAAGGCGUUAAGCUAACCUGUACUAAUUGCCCGAGAGGCUUAACCAU